CUCUGCCUGCCACCCACCAUACGUAUUAACUUUUGUUAAAAAUCGGGUGUCAGAUCAGAUCUGGAGGGGAUCCAAUCCAACAACCAUGGAAGGCAAACCCUAGCCUAGCCGCCUCUCUCUCCUGCUCCUGCUCCUCUCCUCCUCAGAUCUCCUACCACCAUGGCCGUCGGCUCCUCCUUCCAAGCCCCCAUGGAAGCAAACCCUAGCCUAGCCGCCUCUCUCUCCUGCUCCUGCUCCUGUCCUCCUCAGAUCUCCUACCACCAUGGCCUCGUUCUUCCUUCAACCCCCCUGCGACCUUCCAUGGCGACAUGGAUCUAGCCAGCCGGGUUGAGGCCGCUGGCCGGACGGCAGCAACGUGCGUCGGUACGGUGGCAACCGGGCCGCUCCCGGAGACCGCCGGCGUGUGAAACCGCUUGUUCGUCUGAUGGGUGGGUUUGUUGGUUGGAUCUCUAGUACAGUUUUUUAGUAUGUUAUUAUUAUAGAUGGAUAUAGGAAAACGAAUAUCUUAGUAUUUCGCGUCAAGCCCUGUUCGUCUCCGGGAGUUGAACGUUUUUUUUAAAUCUUCUGUAUGUAUAUCACCCGAGGACAAAGCAAAAAAAAAAAAAUCCUUGUUCAGAAGAAGAUUCACCCGAGUACUGUUUUCAGGCUGUUUGGAUCUGUGGGAAAUUUCCCUAGAAGGAUUUGAAACUCUUAGGCCUCCUUUGGUUCAUAGGAUAGAAAUAGUAAAAUCAUUUAAAUAUAAAGAAAAAAAUGUCAUUCGAUGCAUAAGAUAGGAAUUUUUUCCUGGGAAAUGUGAAGGACUGAUUUCUAUCCUUCAUAGGAAUAGGAAUCCAUUCCUACAAGCCAAAUGGCUUCAAAGGAAUUUUUCCUAUAAAGUUCCUAUCUUUUACAAUUCCUACAAUAUUUUUAUGAACCAAAGGAGGCCUUAAGGUUUUUUCCCAAGCAUUCAUGUAGUCUAUUAUUUUUUGUAGAAAAAUAAUUCUCAAACCUCCAUUUGCAAUUCCUUUACUUAUUUUGUGGUGUGAAACACUCUUUGAUGCGUUUUUUUUUUGCCAACACCUCUUAGUACCACUUAUGUAGGUCGUACUACAAGAGACAACAAUCCAAAGUACAUUUUAUUAAGCGUUUUGGUCUCAGCAAUUAUCCCCUGAUAGCAUUCGAGUCAUACUUUUGGUUGUGAUUCUCGUUGCUUUGAUUCGAUUUGACUCUUUUUGUAAGCCUAAGAACAUUAAGUAAGAACGUGUUGCUUUGAUUUGUCUUUUUUUUUUCUAUUAAUUUUGUGUGUGCUUCUAUUAGGAUGAUUUUUGAUUUUUUUUAAUCAAGUGAACCAAACACAUAAUGGGUUGACAAAAUUGAUGCGUGUAAUAACCGUUCUGCAGGCCUUGUUCAGACGAGGUUUAUUUGUUUUGUAAGUAUGUGCUCAUCUUUUGGGGAUGUGCGCACAUAGAGGUAGGGUCAUCAUUUUGGUACCAGCCAUGUCCACUCGAAAUGAAUUAAUGGAGGCUGUCCACUCGUUUUCUCUCUUAGAUUAGAUCCAUAGAGAUUUUUUUUUUGGAAUAUCCUUGCUGUACGUGCACUUACGCAUGCAUGCUCUUCAGGUAAGGACCUUGGAUUCCUUGGCAUGUUGCUCUCUACCAGCAUAGUUCAGCCAUGUAGACCCACUCACACACCACCACUCGGUUGGUUAUGUCCCACUACUCCGGCGAGAUGGAUUUGCUUGUGUUUUAGAGGCCGUAUGCUGCUGCAUUUGUUGCACACUUGUGAAGGCUUCCAACUCGGUUUUUUUCUGAUGCAUAAGCAACUUCCUUGAUCCUGGUAUGAAGGUGUACAAAUCUUGCCCAUGAACCCAGUCUUCUUGAAGCAAGCCGGGCAUGCACAAUGCAUCUUGUUUGGUUGGUGCCUGAGUAGUAUUUGGACCAGCCUGACCUGAGCUGUCCACCGAAAUCAGAGGCCUGACUCAGGCAGAAGCAAUCAGUCUGCUCAUAAUUUAGGGAUGCACACAUGGAGCGGUUCACGUGUGUCCCUGCAGUGUUGCAGCUGGGGCGUCCCAAGGUCCAUAGCUAGGCCCACCAAAAGAAUGGAGCGUGUGCAUAGCAAUGUCCAGCAGCACAGGAUGAACUGCUAUGCAACACACCACUACACAAGGAACGGAGGGAGUAUGAUGCAUGACAGCUUUCUGCAGCAAUGCUUCAAGGAGAAUUGGCGUGUAAGGCGAGGGAUGGUUCAUAAUCUAGCACUCCUGUUGUCAGGCCAGGUUGAGGGAACAAGGAAGUAUCAUCAUCAUGAGUGUGCCAUGAGCAGCUACUCACCAGUGCUCCGAUCCUUAGGCCCUUGACCCUAAUCCCAAUGCUGGCGAGCUCAUUGCGUCUGUCUGAACCUGGCUUCAGAUCAAGACUGCAUAGGGGAUUUUUUUCUUUUAAAAUGGUUUUUUUUAUGUUUGUAAAUCUUGUAAUUUUCAUUUUAUUUUUUGCACUCUGUACUUACGUAUGCUGAUGCACGUGUGAUUCCAUCUGGGGCAUCGGCACGGGUACCCUGCAGACGGGGCAAUUGGACUUAGGUGUUCCCAUAGCUGUCUCGCCUGUUCUCUCUUGUCCAUGUAUGCAGCCUCUGCCCUGCAGAGAGAAUUUGUACGGUUACCAAGACGCACUGCAUUCAUUCAUCAGGAAACUUGAAUCCAUAUAUUAACGACAAAUACUUGACAUGACA